ensembl:lncRNA
CUCCAGCUGCUUCGCUCUCAGCCUCAGCGCCAGCAGAGGGAUGCAGUGUCCUUUUCAGCAAGUGGAAGGGAGGCUUAGCAAAGUCUCAGCACCAGCUAUACUCUGAAGGCAGGGAAACCGUUUGCUUCUCUUUUUCCAACACUCAGCUUCGGUGUCUAAGCCACGGUCCAGUCCUUUGGAAGGAGCUGGGUAAUACGUUGUUAACUGGAAAACAAGCAAUCUUCACUUCCUGUCUCUUCAAGUCAGCAGUCCAGGGAUCAGGACCACAAACCUGUCUCUGGGACAGGCCCGAAGAGAUGGUGGCCUUUAGGUGGGCAGAGAAGAGAGCUGUCAGCGUCCAAGAAAGCCAAGGUCUGGGCAGCCUCCCAGAUGCCUAGGAGCUUUUCCUCUUGCAAUCCGUGCCCCAUGGGACACGUUCCUCCUCCUCAGGGUGGAUCAGACCGACUGACUCACCUCUAACACACUUUGGCCAGACCGAUGGCAUCAUGAAAGCCUACGAAGACACUCCAGGUCCAUCGCAGAGCUCCCUCCCCACGCGGCCUCUUAAAUCAUGUGUUCUCGGGGAAUUUAUCUACCCUGCCGUGAACAGCACCAUCAAAGGGUCACCUGGAAUGUAAACUAGUACAACCAUCGUGGGUGUUGGUAUGGGGAGGACUCGAAAAACUAAAAGCAGGUAUCUUCCCAAAAGAGUUAAAGUCACACAUUAUAGUAAUACAGGCAACCCAUGUAUAUAGCAGCAGAACCCAUAAUAGAUGAAUCUUGACAGUGGCCUAUGUGUCCAUCAGCA